AUGAUUGAAGGGUCGGACGCGGACAUCGCUAACCUUAAGUUCCUCCUCCUCUGCUUCGAACAAAUGUCUGGCCUCAAGAUCAACUUCGACAAAAGUGAUGUGAUGGUGAUGGGCUACUCUCCGGCCGAGGCUCGUGACAUCGCCAACCGCCUGAAUUGCCGCCUAGGCUCCUUCCCCACCACCUACCUGGGACCCGUCAGUGACUCUCGGCUUACUGUUGCUGAUCUGCGACCGUCUGUUGCCAAGUUGCAGACGUGCAUUGAGCCUUGGCAGGGUCGGUGGCUAUCAAAGGCGGCCCGGACGAUACUCAUCAACUCCUCGCUCUCCAGUCUCCUCUUGUUCCUCAUGAGCUUCUACAGCCUCCACGAGGCGCUUCACCACGAGAUUGCCAAGGUCCAAUCCCGCUUCUAUUGGGCCGGGGACAAUAACAAACAGAAAUACCAUAUGGUUAGCUGGCCCGACAUCUGUAAGCCCCGGGAGCAAGGUGGCCUCGGUAUCAUGUGCUCGAAGCGCAUGAAUAUCGCGCUCCUUUCCCGCUGGCUUUGGCGCAUCUCGCAAGGACAUGGUGGGCUAUGGCUA
rnacentral:rRNA from 1 species